GUCCCCGUAGCGUAAUGAACGGCGCGUUGGGCUUCUAAUUCAAAGGUCGUGGGUUCGAAUCCCACCUGGGAUA